GAGUUUGAUCAUGGCUCAGAACGAACACUGGCGGCGUGCCUAACACAUGCAAGUCGAACGCGAAAACCUGGGCAACCGGGUGAGUAGAGUGGCGCACGGGUGCGUAACACGUGGGUAACCUACCUUUGAGUGGGGAAUAACUCCUCGAAAGGGGAGCUAAUACCGCAUAAGACCACAGCUUCGGCAGGAGGUGCGGUCAAAGGUAGCCUCAGCGGUCAGAGCCUUGGGGAUGAUCUUCCCGCGGGGGAGAUGAUCUGCAGGGUUCUGCGAGUGAAGCUGCCGCUUGAAGAGGGGCCCGCGGCCCAUCAGCUGGUUGGUAGGGUAACGGCCUACCAAGGCGACGACGGGUAGCUGGUCUGAGAGGACGACCAGCCACACGGGAAUUGAGAGACGGUCCCGACUCCUACGGGAGGCAGCAGUGGGGAAUCUUGGGCAAUGGGGGCAACCCUGACCCAGCGACGCCGCGUGGGGGACGAAGGCCUUCGGGUUGUAAACCCCUGUUAGGUGGGACGAACAUCCUGCCGUGAAGAGCGGGAGGAUCUGACGGUACCACCAGAGAAAGCCCCGGCUAACUCCGUGCCAGCAGCCGCGGUAAUACGGAGGGGGCGAGUGUUGUUCGGAAUUACUGGGCGUAAAGGGCGCGUAGGCGGCCUGGCCAGUCGAGUGUGAAAGCCCUUGGCUUAACUGAGGAAUGGCGCUCGAAACUACCGGGCUUGAGGGCGGGAGAGGGAAGUGGAACUCUCGGUGUAGGGGUGAAAUCUGUAGAGAUCGAGAGGAACACCGGUGGCGAAAGCGGCUUCCUGGCCCGUCCCUGACGCUGAGCGCGAAAGCGUGGGGAGCGAACAGGAUUAGAUACCCUGGUAGUCCACGCCCUAAACGAUGGCACUAGUGUGGGGCGGUAUUAAUCCCGCCUGUGCCGUAGCUAACGCAUUAAGUGCCCCGCCUGGGG
rnacentral:rRNA from 1 species